ACCGCAGGCAGUGGGAGCUGCAAUUGGCCAAACCUGCUGACGCAGCAAGUAAACAAACCGGUCUGGCCCACCAGGGGCUUUCCCUGAACAAGCGGCGGAUCAGCUUUGAGAACCACUGCUCUAUAGCACUCAAGGUUUGCAAAUGUUGCAAGAUACAAGCUGAACAGGGCAGGGGCAGCUUCGCUGAAAUCAGUCAAAAGAAUUGGGCCUGCUGUCUCCAAGCCAAUUUGGCCCACAGCCUUGUGUUACUAUUAUAAAUGAUGGGACCCCCUUGCUGGCCAGCCAGUGCCUGGGAUUUUCCAGACCUCUGAUGUUCUUUGCUUUUGCUAACUCUUCUUGUGUGCAGCUUUCAGACUGCCGGGAUUCCUGCUUUGCUGGUGAGGAGACAAGUCCCUCACCUGGUGGAAUGAAAGGUCACUAAUAGGGGUGGUGUUGCUCUUUAGAUGGUCUCACUGGGGCCCCUUUGAGCUGCUCCUGUGGUGUAACUGGGCCCCAUAACUAGUUUGUCAGAAGAGGGAGGGAGGGAGGGGCUCGGGAGCACGCUGCAGUGUGGCUCUUCUUGGCUCGCUCGACAGCCCUAAGCUGGAGCAAUUAUGAGUAGGGUUGCCAACCCUCCAGGAUUGUCCUGGAAUCUCCAGGGAUUAAAGAUUAAUCUUUAAUUAAAGAUGGUCAUGUGAUGAAAUCUCCAGGAAUUUGUCCAACCAAAGUUGGCGGCCCUAACUAUGAGCAGCCCUGACUCAUACAUUCACAGCUCCUGACUUGUGCUGAUAUCAUAUAAUUGUAUAUUCCUCCAGUGUAUUUUAAGCCUGAAUCUCUGCCUGGACUAGGUGGUAAUGACCAGUCCUUCUGCAAUGAGGAUAAGUUAAGCUUUGUGAAACCCUGCUCAGCUGAUGCUUCCCCAGAAGUUCAACAAGCUGCGCUGUUCAUUCACUUCCAAAACCAGCAUGUAUAGCACUAGAUGACGUCUCCGUGCUGCUCUUGCCCUUUGUUUUUAUCUCAUUUCGAGGAGGAACAAGCCCCCGCUGCAUCUGCUUUGUAACUGUUGGCCACAAUUUAUUUUACAAGCAGUUCUUUCAUUAUUCAUUCUAACAAUUGUAUAUUUAUGCCUUUUGU